UUUAAAACUCCAGAGAGGUCCCGUUUCUCUCGCGGCUCACCUCCUCCCUCUCCCGCUCCUAUACAAAUAGUAAUUUUCUUGGAACAGCAACUGGUGUGGUGCCAUGAACAGCUAAAUGCUUCACCGGGGCUCUGGAUGAGGCUGGCAAUGACGAUUAAGUAUGCUUGAGGGGCCCAAGCAACAAUGGAAAUGAGGGCCCCUGAUUAACCGGAAGGUUCCCUAACCUCUGGUGGUGAAAGUGAUGAUGAAAGCAACCAAGAAAGCCCAGCAGAAGCCUAUUACGGGGCUGGAGCUCCCUCUGGAGGAAGCCAGCCAUCAUGUAGUGAGGACAUUCAAUCAAGUAGCAGGUGGACAGGCCCAUGCAGGGAGGAAAGGAGGCCUCCCACUAACAACCAGCACCACCCUGGCAGCCAGGUAAGGGAGUGAUCCAUCUUGGAAGUGGACCCUGCAGCCUCAGUCCAGCCAUCAGAUGACUGCAGCCCUGGCCGAUAUCUUGAGGACCUCGUGAGAGACCCAGAGCCAGAACUGCCCAAGAUAUUCCCCUAAAGGCUUGACUCAGAAAUUGUGAGGAAUAAAUGUUUAUUGUUGUUUUGAGCCAC